CCCCAUUUAAGAGCUGACUGCCACUGGAGAAGGAUCUCUUUCUCAAGAUCCCUCUUUUGUGAAGCUUUUCAUUGCAAGCUUAAAUCUCCAGAUAUGGUGGUAACAGAACAAACACAGCCAUUGGGUGCAGGUUGUGAUAAAGACCAAAUUCUGCAGAGCUUUGUACACGUGGGUCUGGAUUCUGCAAAACUACUUUGGGAAGCUUUGAAGCCUGAAGAGUCUAAGGGGGCCACUUACGUGAAGGUUUUGAGUUUUCUUGGGCUUCUUCCUACCCCACUUCACAGUCUUUAGAAGAGGUAGCAGGUUUCAGUAUAUGAAUAAAAUAUUUGUGCCCUGCUUCUCCUGUUCCUAAGUUGCUUAAACUGCAAAGUCUGUAAGUGAUUACAAAUUGUGCUGUGCAUCUCUCUCUGUAUAACAAGAAAAGCAGGAAAAGAAUAUGCUUAGCUUAAACCUAAUUUUAUAAUAUUAACAUGCUCUGCAAAAUAAAAAACAUAACAUCAAAUGCCUGAAUUAUUCCCUGUUGAUUAUUCUCUGACAAUGAAAUAGUAAUUAUCAGUGCAAUUGGUGAAAUGAAGGAUAACAAAAAAUAUUCAGACUCUGAAGCAGGUUGUAAAGUAUUUACCUAAAAUUGAGACCUUGUGGCUACAUAACAUUUCAGCAAAUGUAACAUGCUGCAGAUAUUAGUACUCUAAAAACAUGAUGCCAGUAAAUCAAGCAAGAUUUUAUUUUGUAUUUCAGUAGCAUGAUAUCAGUGGUUUUUUUGUUGUUGUUGAUUUUUAAAUAUAGGAAAUCAAGCAAGGUUUGCC
ensembl:lncRNA